rnacentral:lncRNA from 1 species
GUCACUUAGCUGCCUUUCUUGUUUCUCAGGAGGGACUCCGGUUCUGAUGUCGGUGCUAUUUUUCAGCUGAAACUGUACUGCCUUAUGCUGGCUCUCCUAUUGAUCCAUGGAAUCGGUUGCUCCGAGUUCCGGAUUACACUUUACCUAAAGGAUCGCUGUGCAAAGAAUCCACUAGAUGCAGCAGUCCAUCCCACCCAAAAAUACUACUGGCUGAGACCUGAAAACACCAACACUUCUCAAAACAGCU